rnacentral:rRNA from 1 species
GAUGAACGCUGGCGGCGUGCCUAAUACAUGCAAGUCGAGCGAACAGACGAGGAGCUUGCUGCUCUGACGUUAGCGGCGGACGGGUGAGUAACACGUGGAUAACCUACCUAUAAGACUGGUAUAACUUCGGGAAACCGGAGCUAAUACCGGAUAAUAUAUUGAACCGCGUGGUUCAAUAGUGAAAGACGGUUUUGCUGUCACUUAUAGAUGGAUCCGCGCCGCAUUAGCUAGUUGUUAAGGUAAAGGCUUACCAAGGCGACGAUGCGUAGCCGACCUGAGAGGGGGAUCGGCCACACUGGAACUGAGACACGGUCCAGACGCCUAAGGGAGGCAGCAGUAGGGAAUCUUCGGCAAUGGGCGAAAGCCUGACGGAGCAACGCCGCGUGAGUGAUGAAGGUCUUCGGAUCGUAAAACCCUGUUAUGAGGGAAGAACAAAUGUGUAAGUAACUAUGGACGUCUUGACGGUACCUAAUCAGAAAGCAACGGCUAACUACGUG